AUAGAAUCAGGAUAAAGUGAAAAUUAUAUAACAAGUUCUGCACAAUAAUUAUAUCUUAUUUACAAUGGCUUUGCAGUUUUCACGUAAAGCUGGUCUUGUUGGUGCUCUAGUAGGUGCGGCUUUUAUUUUGCAUUUUGGAAAUAGUCUAGUUAAACCUUUGGUAGUGCCCGAAAAAAAAUAUGAAGAUGUUAACUCUAAAAUGAGAAGAUUUACUGAAGAGGAUGUAUAAUAUGUGUACCGAAUGUGCAAUGUUCUAAUAGGUCUUUCUCUGGUCAAUUAUGGGCUGAUAAACAACUCUGAAAAUGACUAUAUAAUGGAUAUAACGAAUAGUCAUUCCAAAUAGAUAUAAUUAGAUCCGUUAAAAUAUUUGAAUGGGGAAGUGCUCAGUGCAAAGGAAUUUGAACAAGUUGAUUUCAGUGCAUAUGAAUAGGAUGAAAAUAAAUUUGCAAAUAACAAAUAGAGUAUUCCUAGAGGGUUUUUCUGUAAUAUCGCCAGCAUCGUUUCUGGUUUGAACGUAAGUAACAUACAGCAUAGAAUGAAAUUAUGGAAUAGGAGUCAGGAAAUUAGUUAUUUAGUUUGAAAUAAAAAUAUAUAAGUAGGCUUUUAUUUUUAUUCAUACAUUCAACUAAAUAAUCUUUACAAGGUUUUUAAUAAUUGUUAACUAACAUAUGUGCUGUAUGAGAUUUUUGAAUGGAUUCAGUUCAAAAGAGAGACCAGUUAAUAUUUUUGUGAAAAGUUUGUUUUUGUUCUAAAAUCUCUUGAAAUGAAAAAAAAUUUACUUGCUUAACAUAUAGAACUUUGGAGUAUGGUGCUUUCAGAUAUCAUUUAUGUAAAUAUUUAAAAUUCUUUAGUAUAUUUUUCAUGUUUCAGUGUAUUAUCCCGGACACUAAAUGACCCAUAUUUUUGAAAUAUAGAUUCAUGAAUCAAUUAUGAGUUAGCCUGAUUCUUGCUGAUUUUUUUCAUACAUACAUAUAUAGGAAUAUUUGUUUUUGUACUGUAUGCUUUUCAUCUAGUAUAGACAGGUACAUAACUGUAUUGUGUUAAAAUAAAUUUUGCAUGGAAUAUA